rnacentral:rRNA from 1 species
AAUCAACGCUGGCGGCGUGCCUCAGACAUGCAAGUCGAACGCGAAAGUCCCCUUCGGGGACGAAGUAGAGUGGCGCACGGGUGAGUAACACGUAGGUAAUCUACCUUCGGAGUGGGGAAGUAACAAUCGGAAACGGUUGCUAAUACCGCAUAAUGCAGCGGCACCUAAUGGUGACAGUUGUUAAAGCGGGGAGUCGAAAGACCUCGCGUCUGAAGAGGAGCCUGCGGCGGAUUAGCAGUUGGUAAGGUAAUGCUUACCAAGGCGACGAUCCGUAACCGGCCUGAGAGGGCGGUCGGUCACACUGACACUGACAUACGGGUCAGACUCCUACGGGAGGCAGC